rnacentral:lncRNA from 1 species
UUUUUCAUUAAUAUGUUAUUAUUAUAUUGUAUUACUUAUGCUCUUACUAUUUUGUUGGGAUUGUAUUAGAUCUUCUAUUGUAAGCAAAUAUCGAAUCAAUGUCUAUAUAUUUGAGAGACUUGCCUAAGAAAAUGUAAGAAGAGUUAGGCACUUAAUUUGUUCUUAGGAGAAUAAUUUUGUAAGAGUGUUAUUAUUUAUAGCAAAACGGUUUGUUGUGGUUUUACUUGCUAUGAUCACAAAGGGAGGGUGAUUUUGUAAUUGUUGAAGAAAGGGUAUGUUUCUCGCUAAGUCAAGUUCUACACAUAUAGGGAAACUAAAUUACGUAAUUAUCUUCUUGUGUCUUGUGUGUUUACUGCUCUUUAUUUAAUAUUUGGAGUACCCACCUACCCGGGCUCCGAUUUGGUUGUGCAGCUUUUAGUCUUAGCAAUUCCCAUUUUGAUAAAAAGAUACUGAGAGCCACAUGGAUGACACUAUCCCAAUUGAAGCUCCUGGUGCUAAAGAAGCUGGAGAGGACAUUGUUAAUACUUUGUCUCGUGCACAAAGAGUUGGGCUUCCUGAACUCCUUCCUUGUCAGCAUCAACAAGAGGAAGGUUGACGUACGACAAUACAUUGGAGAUGUAGAAAUUGAAGAACCUUGAAGACCGUCUUUUGAUUUUUGCCAAAAAGGGGAGCAGCAUUUUUAAAGUUAUUUUAUUCUCUGA